AGGUACAGCAGCAUCCCUACUAUGGAGGGUAAAGCUUGAGAUUCUCAAGAUAAUGCUGUUUGUCCCUCAAUAACAUUUCCAUAGUCAAACUCUCCUUUCCAUAUCAUCACUGUUGUCUGCACUUAUCAUCAUAUCUUUCAGAAGCUUCUUAAACGGAAGGUCCCUGUGGUCAAGCAUGGAUUCUACUGACACGUGCAGCCCAAGAAUUUACACUGAGCCAGCUGAGUGACAUUGACUUAGGACCUUCCCCCUUGAGACUCUCAUUAACCAAAAGUUAUGGCACCGAGGAGACCCCAGGAGAGAGUCAGAGCUUGGAGUCCAUUUUAUUUCUAGCUUAAUGUUUCCCUCUUCUCUCAUUUAACAUCAGCCUUUUCCAAAUGGCUGCCUCUGAAAGCCAGAAAGCUUUCAGUUGAUUAAACAGCAUUAGUUCACCUCAUUAUUGGAAGAAAAAUAGGAAAGUCAAAAUAAAGAUGCACGUUCUCCUAUAAGAGAAAAAAUUAUCCUUGGUAGUAAUUCCUCCAUUGUCUGAAAUAAUCCUAUUAGGCAUUGUCUUUCCAUCAAAAUUAACCAGCACAAAGCAACUGGCA
rnacentral:lncRNA from 1 species